rnacentral:rRNA from 1 species
AUUGAACGCUGGCGGCAUGCCUUACACAUGCAAAUCGAACGGUAACGGGCCUUCGGGUGCCGACGAGUGGCGAACGGUUGAGUAAUACAUCGGAACGGGCCCGAUCGUGGGGGAUAACGAGGCGAAAGCUUUGCUAAUACCGCAUACGAUCUACGGAUGAAAGCAGGGGACCGCAAGGCCUUGCGCGGACGGAGCGGCCGCUGGCAGAUUAGGUAGUUGGUGGGAUAAAAGCUUACCAAGCCGACGAUCUGUAGCUGGUCUGAGAGGAUGAUCAGCCACACUGGGACUGAGACACGGCCCAGACUCCUACGGGAGGCAGCAGUGGGCAAUUUUGGACAAUGGGCGCAAGCCUGAUCCAGCCAUGCCGCGUGCAGGAUGAAGGCCUUCGGGUUGUAAACUGAUUUUGUACGGAAAGAAAAGCCUUCUUUUAAUACAGGAGGGUCAUGACGGUACCGUAAGAAUAAGCACCGGCUAACUACGUG